rnacentral:rRNA from 1 species
CCUUUCGGGGAUGAGUGGCGGACGGGUGAGUAACGCGUGAGAAUCUGCCAAAAGGACUGGGACAACCACUGGAAACGGUGGCUAAUACCAGAUGUGCCGCAACGUAAAAGAGGAAACUCGCCUUUUGAGGAGCUCGCGUCUGAUUAGCUAGUUGGUGAGGUAAAAGCUCACCAAGGCAACGAUCAGUAGCUGGUCUGAGAGGACGACCAGCCACACUGGGACUGAGACACGGCCCAGACUCCUACGGGAGGCAGCAGUGGGGAAUUUUCCGCAAUGGGCGAAAGCCUGACGGAGCAAGACCGCGUGAGGGAGGAAGGCUCUUGGGUCGUAAACCUCUUUUGUCAGGGAAGAACACAAUGACGGUACCUGACGAAUCAGCAUCGGCUAACUCCGUGCCAGCAGCCGCGGUAAUACGGAGGAUGCAAGCGUUAUCCGGAAUUAUUGGGCGUAAAGCGUCCGUAGAUGGUUUUGCCAGUCGGCUGUCAAAGCGCAGGGCUUAACCCUGUAAAGGCAGUGGAAACUACAAGACUAGAGUGCAGUAGGGGCAGAGGGAAUUCCCAGUGUAGCGGUGAAAUGCGUAGAGAUUGGGAAGAACACCCGUGGCGAAAGCGCUCUGCUGGACUGCA